rnacentral:rRNA from 1 species
AGCGAACGCUUGCGGCAGGCUUAACACAUGCAAGUCUAACGGGCACUUCGGUUCUAGUGGCAGACGUGUGAGUAACACGUGGGAACGUACCUUUCGGUUCGGAAUAAUACAGGGAAACUUGUACUAAUACCGGAUACGCCCUUCGGGGGAAAGAUUUAUCGCCGAUAGAUCGGCCCGCGUCUGAUUGGCCAGUUGGUGAGGUAAUGGCUCACUAAGGCGACGAUCAGUAGCUGGUCUGAGAGGAUGAUGAGCCACACUGGGACUGAGACACGGCCCAGACUCCUGCGGGAGGCAGCAGUAGGGAAUAUUGGACAAUGGGCGAAAGCCUGAUCCAGCCAUGCCGCGUGAGUGAUGAAGGCCUUAGGGUUGUAAAGCUCUUUUGUCCGGGAAGAUAAUGACUGUACCGGAAGAAUAAGCCCCGGCUAACUUCGUGCCAGCCGCCGCCGUAA